GGGUGCAGAGCAUGCUGUGAUCUCCUCUUGCAUUUUGCAUCAGGUCCUGUUCACCUUUUGCAUUUUGCAUCUUGCAUUUUGCAUCAGGUCCUGUUCACCUUUUGCAUUUUGCAUCUUGCAGCUGCAUCAGGUCCUGCUCCCCCUUCGCAUUUUGCAUCUUGCAUUUUGCAUCAGGUCUUGUUCACCUUUUGCAUUUUGCACCUUGCAUUUUGCAUCAGGUCCUCCUCUCCUUUUGCAUUUUGCGUUUUGCAUCUUGCAGUUGCAUCAGGCUUUGCUUUCCUUUUGCGUUUUGCACCUUGCAUUUUGCAUCAGGUCCUGCUCUCCUUUUGCAUUUUGCACCUUGCAUUUUGCAUCAGGUCCUGCUCAUCUUCUGCAUUCUGCACUAGCACCAGGCUAUGCUCACUUUUCCCUUUGCAUUUUGCAGUUGCGUCAGGCUUUGCUCACCAUUUGCACUUUGCAAUAGCACCAGACUUUGCUCAUCUUUUGCAUUUUGCACUUUGCAAUAGCACCAAACUUUGCUCACCUUUUGCAUUCUGCACUAGCACCAGGCUACGCUCACUUUUCCCUUUGCAUUUUGCAGUUGCACCACACUUUGCUCCCUCUCUUCAUUUUGCAUCCUGCAAUUGCACGAGGCUUUGCACACCUUCUCCAUUCUGCAGUUGCAUCAGGUCCUGCUCUCCUUUUCCAUUCUUCACUUUUUGCGCCAAACUUUGCUCACUUUUUGCUUUCUGCAAUGGCACCAAACUUUGCUCACCCUUUGCAUUCUGCACUUUGCAAUGGCACCAAACUUUGUUCACUUUUUGCAUUCUGCACUUUGCAAUGGCACCAAACUUUGUUCACUCUUUGCAUUCUGCACUUUGCAAUGGCACCAAACUUUGCUCACUUUUUGCAUUUUGCAUUCUGCAAUUGCAUCAAACUUUGCUUACCCUUUGCAUUCUGCACUUUUCAGUAGCACCAAACUUUGCUCACUUUUUGCAUUCUGCAAUGGCAUCAAACUUUGCUCACCCUUUGCAUUCUGCACUUUUCAGUAGCACCAAACUUUACUCUUUGCAUUUUGCAUUCUGCACUUUUUGCAUUCUGCAAUGGCACCAAACUUUGCUCACUUUUUGCAUUCUGCAAUAG
rnacentral:lncRNA from 1 species